GACGAACGCUGGCGGCGUGCUUAACACAUGCAAGUCGAACGGAAAGGCCCUGCUUUUGUGGGGUGCUCGAGUGGCGAACGGGUGAGUAACACGUGAGUAACCUGCCCUUGACUUUGGGAUAACUUCAGGAAACUGGGGCUAAUACCGGAUAGGAGCUCCUGCUGCAUGGUGGGGGUUGGAAAGUUUCGGCGGUUGGGGAUGGACUCGCGGCUUAUCAGCUUGUUGGUGGGGUAGUGGCUUACCAAGGCUUUGACGGGUAGCCGGCCUGAGAGGGUGACCGGCCACAUUGGGACUGAGAUACGGCCCAGACUCCUACGGGAGGCAGCAGUGGGGAAUAUUGCGCAAUGGGCGGAAGCCUGAUGCAGCAGCGCCGCGUGCGGGAUGACGGCCUUCGGGUUGUAAACCGCUUUCGCCUGUGACGAAGCGUGAGUGACGGUAAUGGGUAAAGAAGCACCGGCUAACUACGUG
rnacentral:rRNA from 1 species